rnacentral:rRNA from 1 species
AGCUCCAAUAGCGUAUAUUAAAGUUGUUGCGGUUAAAAAGCUCGUAGUUGGAUUUCUGUUGAGGACGGCCGGUCCGCACUAUGUGCGUGUAUCUGGUUCGGCCUCGGCAUCCUCUCGAAAGCCGUUUCUGCGCUUGAUUGCGUGGUUCGGACUUCGGGACUUUUACUUUGAGGAAAUUAGAGUGUUCACGGCAGGCAAGCGCCUUGAAUAUAUUAGCAUGGAAUAAUAAUAUAGGAUCUUGGUCCUAUUUUGUUGGUUUCUAGGGCUAAGAUAAUGAUUAAUAGGGACAAUUGGGGGCAUUCGUAUUAACGCGUCAGAGGUGGAAUUCUUGGAUUGCGUUACGACGAACUACUGCGAAAGCAUUUGCCAAGGAUGUUUUCA